rnacentral:rRNA from 1 species
UACAGAGGGUGCGAGCGUUAAUCGGAAUUACUGGGCGUAAAGCGUGCGUAGACGGUUAUGUAAGUCGGAUGUGAAAAGCCCCCGGGCUUAACCUGGGAAUGGCAUUCGAGACUGCAUAGCUAGGAUGCGGAAGAGGGAAGUGGAAUUUCCGGUGUAGCGGUGAAAAUGCGUAGAUAUCGGAAGGAACACCAGUGGCGAAAAGCGACUUCCUGGUCCAGCAUCGACGUUCAGGCACGAAAAGCGUGGGGGGAGCAAACAGG